AAACAUCGAUAGUAUUAUCACCUCACUAUCCGCCAGGGAACUACGAGCAAUAGCUUAAAACCCAAAGGACUUGGCGGUGCUUUAGACCCACUUAGAGGAGCCUGUCCUAGAACCGAUACUCCCCGUUCAACCUCACCUUUUCUUGUUUAACCCGCCUAUAUACCGCCGUCGUCAGCUUACCCUGUAAAGGCCCCAUAGUAAGCAAAAUGAUUCAAAUCCAAAACGUCAGGUCGAGGUGUAGCGCAUGGAAAGGAAAGAAAUGGGCUACAUUCCCUGCCCCAGGGAACACGAAUAGUACACUGAAACACGUACUUGAAGGAGGAUUUAACAGUAAGCAGGAAACAGAGCGUUCU
rnacentral:rRNA from 1 species